AGACAUGGAAGGAUGAUCUGGCUGUGACAUCUGUCACUCCACACUGAUCACCAGGGUUAUUUUAGUUGAUUGAGUUGGCUAGAUUGACCCCCCCCUUCUACCUCCGCCACUUUAUGUGCUUCCCUCUCAAUGCUGUAGAACAGGAUGACCAUCCCCCAAUAGAUGAAGGUCUGUCUUUGAUCAAGGUUACCCUGGUAGCUGUGCUCCCCUGAUAGAACUUCCAAGCAAGUUGUCUCUUACACAAUUCUAAGUCCCAUCAAGUUGCCAGUAUUAAUCAUCACAUAAAUUCAAGAACUAAAAAGGAAUUGUUAUCUU
ensembl:misc_RNA Gm25318 predicted gene, 25318